rnacentral:rRNA from 1 species
UACGUAGGGUGCAAGCGUUGUCCGGAAUUAUUGGGCGUAAAGAGCUCGUAGGCGGUUUGUCGCGUCUGCUGUGAAAACGCGAGGCUCAACCUCGCGCCUGCAGUGGGUACGGGCAGACUGGAGUGCGGUAGGGGAGAUUGGAAUUCCUGGUGUAGCGGUGGAAUGCGCAGAUAUCAGGAGGAACACCGGUGGCGAAGGCGGGUCUCUGGGCCGAUACUGACGCUGAGGAGCGAAAGCGUGGGGAGCGAACAGG